rnacentral:rRNA from 1 species
UGGGGAAUUUUGGACAAUGGGGGAAACCCUGAUCCAGCCAUCCCGCGUGUGCGAUGAAGGCCUUCGGGUUGUAAAGCACUUUUGGCAGGAAAGAAACGUCAUGGGUUAAUACCCCGUGAAACUGACGGUACCUGCAGAAUAAGCACUGGCUAACUACGUGCCAGCAGCCGCGGUAAUACGUAGGGUGCAAGCGUUAAUCGGAAUUACUGGGCGUAAAGCGUGCGCAGGCGGUUCGGAAAGAAAGAUGUGAAAUCCCAGAGCUCAACUUUGGAACUGCAUUUUUAACUACCGGGCUAGAGUGUGUCAGAGGGAGGUGGAAUUCCGCGUGUAGCAGUGAAAUGCGUAGAUAUGCGGAGGAACACCGAUGGCGAAGGCAGCCUCCUGGGAUAACACUGACGCUCAAGCACGAAAGCGUGGGGAGCAAACAGG